GUUGAGAACCCCUGCUUUACAUAUUUGCGAGCGCGUGUGUUAUCGACAGCUGAAAGUGCUUGUGCCAAUUGAGAAACUACGCAGGACGAGCGGACCAGAUUAUUAUUUGAAUAGGAGUUGGCUACUAAAAGAGAGAAGCUUCUCCAGUGUCCAGGAGUCCCACUGAAGAGCAGCUUACCUCUGGGAAGAUAACUUCUUUCUGAUAACUGACAGUAACUGACACUUCAGCCUGAAGGGAUGAAGUCAUAAAGCCACUAGAAUACCCCAGGAGAUGACCAGCCUCCUUUAUCCUCCUAUCAAUGAUCACCUGCUCCUCCACCUUUUUGACCUACAUCCGUGCCACACAAUGGUUUCUAGGAAGCUACCAAACCAUACCUUGUCACAAAAAAUAUCAUUUUUUUGCUUAAAAGCCAUAGCUCUUUCGAUGUGGGUUGUCUUUUCUUAUAGAACAAGUGUGUAAAAUUGCCAGCCCACACACCGGAUGCAUCAUGCGGAAGCUGCGCCCACCCCAGCUCCAGCAAGGGGAAAAAAAGUCAUCCAAAAUUUCACAAUGUUGUUUGGUUAACAUGAAAAGUGGAAGAUGUUAUGGUGUUAUGUUUUACCUUAUAUGCAGCUCUAUCAUCUCUAUUGUAUUUGUUUCCUGUAUCACAUUGCUACUCUAUGAUUCAUCUUUAUUGUUCCUGUGAUACAUUUUGCUGUUCCUGUUGUAUUCUCUCUAAGAAGAUGGCUUCUGCACAGUGAUGGCUUGUAUUGUAUUUACUUACUCCACAUGAAACACACUUCAGCACUACUGAGCAGCCUAAUAGUCUGCUGUUUAAUUUCCAAAGCCAGGGGUUGGAAGCAGAGUUGACUUUGAAAUAGAUUUGUCCCCUUGAAAUCAGCAGGACUGAAUCUAACAGAUCUCCUGGUUUAAGUGGCACAACUUUUGAAUCCAGCCCAUUGUCUGGAACGACCAAUAGGUUUUAAACCAAAAUUAUUCAGCCUGUCACAUUUAGACCCACUAUAUAUAUUCUGCAUGGUUUUUUGUUUGAGAAAGGGAAAAAAGUAUUUUAAAUUUAUUACUUUCUUCUCCCACUGAAGUCUCUGUCUUCCAGAUAGUUCUCUGUAGCCUUGCCUUAUUUAGUCACUGAAUCUUCUUCUGUUUCCCCCAUCAAAGAGGCAGAUCGCUAUAAACAGUUGAUGACAGUGGAAUGGGAUAUGGAGAGCAAACUAAACUGCAUGCAAACCUAUCCUAGGUGAUCAAUCUGCUCCUGUGUGUCAAUGACAAGAGGAUCUCCUGCUUCAGCAGGGGUUUGGACUAGAAGACCUCCAAGGUUCCCCUUUAAUUCUGUUAUUCCAUUGUUGUAAUUCUUUUUCAAGGCAAAAUCUUUUUUGAUUCUUUUGGAGUGUCUGUCACAGGCACCCCAAUGUUUUUUGGUGAAGAGGGGCAAAGAAGUUGGAGUUUCUGCUCUUCAACUGUGUCUCAUUUAUAACCUUGUUUGGACAGAGUCAGCUUCAGACAAUUAACUAUGCCUCAAUAAUUAACUAUUUAGAUUACUACAAUAUGUACUGUGUGGCAUUCUUUUGUGACCAGUUUGGUACAUUCAUAUUCCAGGUAGAAGUUCAUGGAAUUGGGUAAUAUGAUGGUUUUAAUUUCUUCUGUACAUAUACAGUAUUACAUCAAUUAUCUUUACAGCUUGUUGUUCAUUUCUACUUCUAAUUCAUGAUAGCUUUAAUCUAUAAAUUGCUUCACAGCUUUGGAGCCUAGUAUCUGAUGGAACAUUUCUCACCACUGCUUAUUUCCAAUACCCUAAAAUCUGAUUGUUUACGCCAUCUUGCCGGGAUUCAAUUUAAGUUUGCUGGACCCAUCCAGAAGACUUCACAGCAUCUCUGACCUGCCUGGCUUGGCAAUGCAUAACUGAACUUAAUAAGAAUAUUGGUGAUUCCUUCCUCCAAACCAACUGAUGACAUCUACCAGGAUUUUCAUAUAGAUGCUAAGUAUUAUGGGGAAAGAGAGAUGCAAGCCUGGGGGAGCUGUGUGUGUAACUGUUACAGACUUGACUGUUCUUCCCCUAUGAGCAAUGAUUCCCAUCCUUUGCAAGUUGUUCAGAAAGACACCAUGACUGAUGGUAACAAGAUGCUGGAUUAAAUGAAGCAAGAGUGCUCUUUUUGUAUAAUUCGAUAAAUUAAGCCUAGUUUGACAUCACAUUAAGCUACUCCUUAGGAAUCACAAUUAGCUAGAGCCAUACAUCAUACUCAAUCCACAAUAGCUGGAUUCAUAUAGCAAUAUACUAGCAAACUUCAGUUUAAUUAGUAAUUGAAAUCUAGUAAUAAUUAGCUCAAGGUUAGUGAGUGUUAUGGGUAGAAAUUUGAAUAGCUAUUAAAGUCCAAUGUUCCUCUCACUCCACCUUCUGCUCUUUCAUUUUUUUUAAUUGUUACUCCUGGUUACUUAAUUUUACAUUUGCUUUCCGCUCCUCUCAGAAAUAAACAGGAUGUUACUUUUA